GUGACUUUUCAGAAGCAAGGAAUGUAAACAACCCUGCUGUUCCCCACACCUUGUGCUUCACCCACACCUGAGUCGACCAGACAGUUGACUUAAAGAGCCAGGCAAGAGAAUCAUUUUUAAAAUCAAUAUUUAAUCAAUACAUCAAAGAUAGUAUAUAUGCAGACAUACAGCCAUCUCGAGACUAAAACUUCGAGGAAAAUGAAGUACUUCUCCUAUUUUUCCCAAGUACAACUGAAAACCCUGGAUAUUAUACACAAAAUAAACACAAGAGACUCUAAAAGGGCAAAAGAAAGAGGCAAACUGGUGAGAGACUUCAGAGGAACAGAGGAUCGGCAUGAUGUGGCCACACCCACAAGAUAUAGACGUUCCCAAGCCACGGAUUGAAUCUAAGCCACGGUUAUGAUCUAACUUAAUGCCUGAUGCUUAACCCACUGCGCUGAGAUGGGGAUGAAGCCGUGCCUCCACUGUGACCAGGAGCUGCUGUAGUUGGAUUCAUAACCCACUGCACCAGGGAAGGAACUCCUAAUUCUGUCCAUCUUAUGAACAGGAUUUAGGGGACUGUUUAUGGGCACUGGACUCCCAAUUUAAGACCUUUGUGAGAAGAGCCUCAGAUUUUAAGUAGUGCUACGUAAAUAUAUAAAAUUGCUGUGAAAAAAAAUCCUUUUGAUUUAAAUGAAUCACCAGCGCCUUGCAAAUAGUCUUCAGAAACGGAUGGCUCCCCAGGCAAGACUCUGUGGAUCCGGGCUAGUUCUCAUUUGACCCUGGGGCAUCGUACUGCAGGAUACAGCAGGAAAAGAACCUAUGACGAACACAUCUCCCGACAGAUUACCUUAGUUGGGGAAGUGACCUUGUCCACUGAUUGCUUUUCCCAGAGGUUUCGUUUGCCAGAUACGUCUCCUGGCCUCAAAUCCUAAGGAAGAGAAAACAGGAAAAUUGAUAGGUGACCGUUUAUAUUUUCUGGCCAGGUCUAAAUAAAUCACCACAUCUGUUG